rnacentral:rRNA from 1 species
GGGUUAGUAGGUUGGUCAUGCCUCUGGUAUGUACUGGUCUCACUGAUUCCUCCUUCCUGAUGAACCUUAAUGCCAUUCACUUGGUGUGACGGAGAUCCAGGACUUUUACCUUGAAAAAAUUAGAGUGUUUAAAGCAGGCAUAUGCUUGAAUACAUUAGCAUGGAAUAAUAGAAUAGGACUUUGGUUCUAUUUUGUUGGUUUCUAGGACCAAAGUA